UUGCCAGCCCGCUCAGAAACUUAAAGGAAUUGACGGGGGCCCGCACAAGCGGUGGAGCAUGUGGUUUAAUUCGAUGAUACGCGAGGAACCUUACCUGGGCUCAAAUGUAUGUUGACGUAUUCUGAAAGGGAUACUUCUUCGGACAAUAUACAAGGUGCUGCAUGGUUGUCGUCAGCUCGUGCCGUGAGGUGUCGGGUUAAGUCCCAUAACGAGCGCAACCCCUAUCAUUAGUUGCCAUCAGGUCAAGCUGGGGACUCUAAUGAAACUGCCUACGCAAGUAGUGAGGAAGGUGGGGAUGACGUCAAAUCAGCACGGCCCUUACGUCCAGGGCUACACACGUGCUACAAUGGCCGGUACAAAGGGCAGCUACCUGGUGACAGGAUGCUAAUCUCAAAAGCCGGUCUCAGUUCGGAUCGGAGUCUGCAACCCGACCCCGUGAAGCUGGAAUCGCUAGUAAUCGCGCAUCAGCCAUGGCGCGGUGAAUACGUUCCCGGGCCUU
rnacentral:rRNA from 1 species